rnacentral:ncRNA from 1 species
UGAAAUUGGCCCGGGUAUGGGUCGGGCCAACUGUUGCCUGAAUAAGGGGUAA